rnacentral:rRNA from 1 species
UUAUUGGGCCUAAAGCAUCCGUAGCCUGUUCUGCAAGUCCUCCGUUAAAUCCACCUGCUUAACGGAUGGGCUGCGGGGGAUACUGCAGAGCUAGGAGGCGGGAGAGGCAAACGGUACUCAGUGGGUAGGGGUAAAAUCCUUUGAUCUACUGAAGACCACCAGUGGCGAAGGCGGUUUGCCAGAACGCGCUCGACGGUGAGGGAUGAAAGCUGGGGGAGCAAACCGGAUUAGAUACCCCCGUAGUCCAA